GGCCUGGUGGUCUAGCGGUAUGAUUGUCGCUUCGGGAAAACUCCCAAUUCUUCCAAAGAAACUGUGACAGGUCCCGGGUUCAAUCCCCGGCCAGGCCC